UACGUAGGGGGCAAGCGUUGUCCGGAAUCAUUGGGCGUAAAGAGUGCGUAGGCGGUUUUCUAAGUUUGGUGUGAAAUCUCCCGGCUCAACUGGGAGGGUGCGCCGAAUACUGAGUGACUCGAGUGCGGGAGAGGAAAGUGGAAUUCCUGGUGUAGCGGUGAAAUGCGUAGAUAUCGGGAGGAACACCAGUGGCGAAGGCGGUUGCCUGGAGCUUUGCUGACGCUGAGGCGCGAAAGCGUGGGGAGCGAGUCCGG
rnacentral:rRNA from 1 species